CCUACGGGAGGCUGCAGUGGGGAAUAUUGGACAAUGGGGGGAACCCUGAUCCAGCCAUGCCGCGUGUGUGAAGAAGGCCCUCGGGUUGUAAAGCACUUUCAGUGAGGAAGAACGCCUGGUGGUUAAUACCCAUCAGGAAAGACAUCACUCACAGAAGAAGCACCGGCUAACUCCGUGCCAGCAGCCGCGGUAAUACGGAGGGUGCGAGCGUUAAUCGGCAUUACUGGGCGUAAAGCGCGCGUAGGUGGCUUGAUAAGCCGGUUGUGAAAGCCCCGGGCUCAACCUGGGAACGGCAUCCGGAACUGUCGAGCUAGAGUGCAGGAGAGGAAGGUAGAAUUCCCGGUGUAGCGGUGAAAUGCGUAGAGAUCGGGAGGAAUACCAGUGGCGAAGGCGGCCUUCUGGACUGACACUGACACUGAGGUGCGAAAGCGUGGGUAGCAAACAGGAUUAGAUACCCCUGUAGUC
rnacentral:rRNA from 1 species